AUUGAACGCUGGCGGCAGGCCUAACACAUGCAAGUCGAACGGUAGCACAGAGAGCUUGCUCUCGGGUGACGAGUGGCGGACGGGUGAGUAACGUCUGGGAAACUGCCCGAUGGAGGGGGAUAACUACUGGAAACGGUAGCUAAUACCGCAUAACGUCGCAAGACCAAAGUGGGGGACCUUCGGGCCGCACACCAUCGGAUGUGCCCAGAUGGGAUUAGCUAGUAGGUGGGGUAAUGGCUCACCUAGGCGACGAUCCCUAGCGGGUCUGAGAGGAUGACCAGCCACACUGGAACUGAGACACGGUCCAGACUCCUACGGGAGGCAGCAGUGGGGAAUAUUGCACAAUGGGCGCAAGCCUGAUGCAGCCAUGCCGCGUGUAUGAAGAAGGCCUUCGGGUUGUAAAGUACUUUCAGCGGGGAGGAAGGCGGUGAAGUUAAUAACUUCACCGAUUGACGUUACCCGCAGAAGAAGCACCGGCUAACUCCGUGCCAGCAGCCGCCGUAA
rnacentral:rRNA from 1 species